rnacentral:rRNA from 1 species
UAAGACGAAGGUGGCAAGCGUUGUUCGGUAUUACUGGGCUUAAAGCGUGUGUAGGCGGAUAAAUUAGCGUUUUGUGAAAUCCCUCGGCUUAACCGAGGAAUUGCUUGACGAACUGUUUAUCUUGAGGCAAGUAGGGGUGCACGGAACUCUUGGUGGAGCGGUGGAAUGCGUAGAUAUCAAGAGGAACGCCAGUGGUGAAGACGGUGCACUGGGCUUGUUCUGACGCUGAGACACGAAAGCGUGGGGAGCAAACAGGAUUAGAUACCCUGGUAGUCCACGCUGUAAACGAUGCCUACUAGGUCGUGGAGGUUCUGACACCGUCACGGCUGGAGCGAAAGUUUUAAGUAGGCCGCCUGGGGAGUACGGUCGCAAGGCUA